UCUUACUUGCGCAGACUAGUCUCUGAGGGAUCCGGGACCCAAGAUGGCUCCCUCACCUCGAGAUUCCCACUUUCAUAUCUUGUACUUCUUGUAUUCUGUUAAUGAUGCUUGCUGUAGUUCCUGUUUGUUUACCUAGAUUUUUCAUUUCCAGAAUUCCUUCAGUUUGUGCUUUCUUAAUUCCUUCUGUAUCUGUUUUUAUGACUUGAACAGUUUCCUUUACCUGUUUGUGUUUUCUUGUUAUUCUUUAAGGGAUAGAUUGAUUUACCCUAAUAUAUUGUUUGUCUUUUGCUCUAUUUCUUUAAAGGAUUUUUUUUCAUUUUCUUUUUCAUCUCCAUAAAGUUGGUUUUAAGUUCAUUUUCCCAGGUUUCACCUGUGAUGGAAUAUUCAGGUGUUGCAGUUAUAAGCUAGCUUGGCCUUUGGUGCAGCAUGUGGACUUCUGACUGGUGUGGCCAGCAUCUGAACAGGGUCUUCUGGAGUUGGGGACAGAUGCCUCUCAGUGGCGUGGGCAGUGAAGUAGAAGGGGGCAGUGGACUUGAUCUGUGGGAACUGAAUCGAGAGAGUUGGCGGUUCAGCUGGUGGCGGUCACUUCCCUAUUCUUCUGACUGCUGUGGCCUCCGCUGUCCAUCUUCCUGUGACUGACCAUGUUCUCCCUCAGCUUGGUCAGCACAGUGUAGUGAUUAUGAAAAACUGCAUCAUUAUCCAAAUUUAAAAUAUUUGAAUAUAUCUUGCAGAGAAAGUCAUGAAAUUUUUAAGGACAAUGAUACUGUUUAAUAUAGUAUUUAGUACAGUAAGUCUUUCGGAAAAACCAAAGUGAGUAAGUGAAUGAAUAAAUGAAUGAAUGCAAUGUGUCACAGACUAAAAUAUGAAAGUAUGCAGAAGUGUUUUCAACAAUAACAAUAAAAUUGAAAUAACACUUUAGAAUGGAUAGCCAGCAAAAUGCAAAAUGCAAAAUGACAAUGGUAAGUCCUCCUCCCUGCUUGUGGAUCAUGGCCUGCAUCCCCUGUGCAGAGGUGAGAGCUCCUAACAGCUGAUAACUGAUCUCUCUUUGAAGCCUCCCUCCUUAGCCACCCUGCCCCCCCCCUUUUGGGCUCCCAGACUUUCACCUAUUUAAGCUUCUUUCCUCAUAAACUCUUAUGCUUCACCCUGUCUGUUUCUUUUAUCCCAGUUAUUGGAUUUCCUGACACCUUACUGCAGGAUCCUCUUAUCACUAUGGCCAUGGGCUUUUAGGGUCUUAGUGACAGAAUUCACUGGCAUGCAUUCCUUUGAUGUAGGUAGUAGACAGAGAAGAGUGCCCAUCACUAACAAACAAGUGUCCUGGACCUCCAAGCAGGGGAAAAAGGAAAACCUUUUGUAGUCUUUUUGUUGUUGUUUGUUCUGUUUUAGACAUGGCUUAGAUCAGGUGAAAUAAAGUAAGAGUUUUGAGCUCAGGUCAGCACAUGCAGAAGCAAAUACUAAACGCUCUGGAGGCUUCCGUUUCUUUAAGUCCCAGCUGAGAGGCCCCAGCUAAGAGGCUUGCUUCUAUUUGAACGGUCCAGGAAGUGUUGCCCAGUGUUACACUGCUUUGCGAAGGCAAACACAUGAGAAUUAAAUCUGAACAUUUCUGUUCUGAAUGUCAAAAAGCAAAUUUUUAAAUCCAAAAUACACCUUUGGCUGUCUUCUUUUAGGGAGGAUAUUUAAAGUAAAACCAAUGUGCUUUGGAGCAAAGGGAACUUACUACUUAAAUCACCUGUUGCUGUUAGAAAUUGAGAGUAAAUAUUUGACUUUAUUACUCUAAAUGGAGUCACGUGUUUCAAAAAGUAGAGUCGACUUUUAGCAGGUCAGCCAUAUCUCUUUGGAAGUAUAUAAGGAGCUCCAAUGACAUUUUAUCAAGAGGUUUGCAGUAUGCACAUUUUAAAACUUUCAUCCCCCUGGGUCCCUUUUUAAAAGACACUGUAAAUUACAAGAAACUUAAGAAAGCCAAGACUGUCAGCAUGCUGGAGAUAGUUGGUAGUGCUUCCUUCAUGGCCCUGGUGCUUCAUGGCCUCUGUUAAACCCCUACUUCCAUAAUUAGAAUUGGAGGAGUGACUUGAACAGACAUCAAGAAACUGAUUGUCAGAGUGUCGAAUAACUAAAACAGAGACAAUUAGAAAUCAGGAUAGUACACAGAAAGGACACAGUCCCUAAGGUAACCAGAUCAGAGGGAGGAAUGGGGGACUGUGGACCAGUUUUAGAGGUUUCAGCCUGAGGAAGACUGACCAGUGGCUAGGUAAAUCACCAUGCAUGGCUUCUGUGGAAGAAAGCUUUUUUCAUAACAGGGCUCAGGAUACAAAACGGGGGUCGGGGUGGGGGGCAGGUCUGUGUUCCCAGUUGUCCCUUUAAGGACACUGGGCUCAACCUAUUGCAGCUCCACCACUUUCCAGCAGUAUCAUAGGAUUGCCCUCAACAGUUUGGUUUGGGGAAAGAGAAAAAGUAACAUUGCAGUGAAUAAUUGUUACAAAAUAGUAAAAUAAUAAAAUCUAUUACCAACUGAACUUUUGUUUUUAGAAAGAAAUAUGUGGAGACUGGAGAGAUGGCUCAUUGUCAUCAUAUGACAUCAUAUGACAUCACAUGUCAUCAUAUGACAGCUCACAACUAUCUAAUGCUGUCUUCUAGUAUGCAGAUGUACAUGCAAACAACGUACAUAACAUAGAUAAAUAAAUAAAUCUUUUUUUAGAAAAGAAAUAUAUGAAGAAAAAAAGAUCCGGAUUCUUCUGUGUGUUGUGUUUACUAACACAGAAGAUUUUUUGUCCAUUUUGUGCACCUGUAUAAAAAUGGUUUGAAAGCCAGUAGUUCUAGUUUUUAUUCUAAAAUAAAAUUUAACUUCUAGUGGUAUAGUUAGUAUUAUAUGUGUAUGUGGCAAAAAAAAUGUUUCUAAACUUUAUGAUUUUUAUUGAUACCACUUCCAACUCAUAUUUGAAUUUAGAGAUCAUUCUUUUAAUUGUUUUUAAACAUUUCAUUGCCAAUAAUAUUAGCGCUAUUAUAAUUGCCUGUCAUUUUGUGAUGAUACCCUAGUAACGGAUAGGUUGUUUAUAAGUAAACAUUUCAGUUCUCUGAGUACUUCAUAAGUCUACAUAGACCCUUGUUUUUAGUUGAUCAAAGAAGUAAACCUUUUUUACAGUUGGCAUCAAUAUAAGACUAAUACUGGCUUACUUUCCCUCCAUAGGUUCUGCAGUUAUGUCGUCAUAUAUAAUAUCUAUGUCACGGCCACAUGUCUGUAACUCCGGGGAGGAAAACUGUAUACUUUUCAUGCACCCCCAUGUGAAGGCUUCUGAGCAUACUUUUCAAAUUGGAUAGAAUUGCUUCCCAUCCCAGUCAUGUGUUCUCUGUCUGUCUCUGUCUCUCUCUGUCUCUGUCUCUCUCUCUCUCUGUCUCUCUCUCUCUCUGUCUCUCUCUUCUUCCCUCUUCCUCCUCAUCUUCCUCCCUCUUCCUCUUCCUCUCCUCCUCCUCCUCUUUCUCCUUCUCCUCCUCCUCCUUCUCCUUCUCCUCCUCCUCCUUCUCCUUCUUCAUGUGUGUGAGUGUGUAUGUGUGUGUAUUGAUUGUAUUGGACAUUGACAACAAUGAAUAAUAAUUCAAUAAUAGUUCAUUAAUCAAUAUUUUAACUAGGUACAACAGAAGAUGAUGGUAAUGAAAAAUGCCUCUUAUUUUCAUAUGUCAAGUGAAGACAUUACAACUUUUAUGAAAAUGUAAGCAAUAGUAUCAAGAUUCCCAUGGUGAAGAAAUGGAACCUCAGAGACUGCUAUUAGUCAUGACUAAGGUCUUAAAUUUGAAACAAAUGCUUUGAUUGUCAGACUAUACAUUUUCAAACUGAAACAAUGGGUGGAUGAUUUUCAUCUCAAAUCAUCUAGCUAUAGAAAAGUCUCUUAAGGAGAAUUGAACUACUGAGUUUCUAUAAAGAGGCUUUAACGUCUAAUGACAUUAUCAGAAUUCCAAAGUUGUUGUUUCUUUUUUGAUUGGAUGCCUUCAUUUAUUCACAAAAGUAAGUUAAUAGAAAAGAAAUUUGUUUUUCUUUGACACUAAGCAUUAUAGCAUAUUUUGGAUAGUUAUUUAAGAAAUGUCUUUAUGUUAUUAUAUACUACAUAUCAACGUUUUAAAAAGCUUGUUCUUGAAGUUUUGGAUCGAGUAGAGUAGUUGUGGGGUGGCAUCUGUUGUUUCCGUGAAUUCUGAAGCCUCUGCGUGAUAGUGUGCCUGAGCUGCUACCCCAGAUCAUCCAGCUUUGGCUGUAAAAGUUCUGCACAAAGCAGCCAUGAAUGGGGCUGAGGAGACACCCACACACACAGAGUGCAGCCAUGCACUGUGUGUUCUGUGCAGUGCUAAGAUAUCUAAUCAUGAGUAGACAGAGAAACAUUCCCCAGUUAAAUGUCAAUGAAUGUGUAGUAGGCUGAAUCAUAUACAUGAAAAUAAGCAUCCGCAAAUGAACAGUUCAGUCUGCAUACACGUGUAUGCGUUCACCAGUUUCUGUUCAGUUCCAAAGUCGUCCCAUAUUUCUAAAGUAGAGUCAUUUUUCUACAGAUGUCCAGAUUCUCCCCUUCUCUUGGUUCCCUAGACCUGGGCAGCCUUCACUCGGUAUUUCAACUGUGUCGAUGUAGCUAUUCAUUCCAUUGAGAUGAAAUGAGAAUGGACUUCUUUCUGUCUGGCUUCUUCCCUUUACCUUUGUGCUAAGAGUGCACCAAUUGUUUAUUACCUUUUAUAGCUGAGUAAUUUUUCCAUAGUAUGUAUAACCUCGAGUCUGUUUAAUUAUUUCCCAUUAAUGGGCGUUUGGGCUACUAUUAUUACUCAGAAGCCAUUUACCGAACAUAUUAUUUCCUCACAAGUCAUCUCUAAAAUCAUUUGAAUUGGAGCAGCUUCUAUCUCAAUGGGAGAACCUUAUUGGGCAGAAUCUAGUGUCAGACUGAAAUGAAGAGUAAUUCUUGUACUGGACUUCCUGAAAUGUGUGGGCAUCUUACUUUGGUAAAUGAUUCAGAACAUAUAUUGAUUAUAUGUACUAUACCAAAAUUAAAUUCUAUUUCAUUUUUACUAUUUUAAAAAGAAGUUUGAUUUCAUGUAUUUAUAAUAGUCAACAAAACACAAAAUGACCAGCAUUGUAAGAUACCCCUAAAGGUAAUAGUAGUGCUUAGUAUCUUGGCAGUAAACAACAGCUGUGUAAGUGUACUUGAAGCUCAAGGAGGAGGGACAUCAUUCCUGAUACUAUAUUCCUAGCCAAAACCAUAUGGUUAGUGAGGUCAUUUUCUGAAAUUAAUAAUCCCUAACUGCACUCUAAAUACUUAUUCUUAUAGAUAAGUAUUUACUUAAGUAAGAUAAUACCAACAGAUAAGGAUAGAUACUACUUUUCAUCAAAGAAGCUUGUCUUUAUCAUAAACAGAGACAUUACAGAAAGCUUCAACCAGUCAAAAUACAGAGAACACUGUGGGAUGCCCAGCUUAGUUGAUGCAUUUUCAGCACAAUUACUGUUUAGGAGCAUGGAAGAGGAGGUGAAAUGAUUUUAAGAUCCAAAGACUAGAAAGUCUUUAAUCAAAUGAUGAUGAGGUUGUGAAGCAAGGGGAAUACUCCUCCACUGCUGAUGGGGGUGCAAACUUGAAAAAUCACUUUGGAAAUCAACUUAACAGUUUCUCAGAAAAUUGGUAGUAGUUCUUCCUCAAGAUACUGUUCCAUCAUACCACAAGGACAUUUGCUCAACCAUGUUCAUUGCUCCUUUAUUUGUAAUAGCUUGAAACUAGAAACAACCUAAAUGUUCAUCAACCAUGCUGCAAUCCACAAACCAAAGAAGCUAAGUAUCAGGGAGGGCCCAAAGGAAGAUGCUUGAAUCUCACUCAAAAGGGGAUAUAAAAGAGACAUGGGAGGUGGAUGGAUGGAGGGAACAGGAUAGAGAUAAGAUGUGGGAAACUUGGAGGAGAUGGGUUGCAGGAAAGGGCUGGGAGAGAGAAUAGAAAUGGGGGAGGGAUAUCUCUGAAAAGAGCCAGAAACCUGAGACUCUAGCAGCUGAAGAAAUAGAAACGGAAGUGGCCACCUCCUGUAGCCAGGUAGGACUUCCAGUGGAGGGUGUGGGGCAUCAAUUUAUCCAUCCACAAUACCUUCAAUCUCAUCUGUCCUCACUACAAGAUGUAUAGGGAUAAAGACAGAGCAGAAACUGAGAAGAGUCAAGCAAUCACUGUUCCAACUUGAGAUCCAUCCCAUGGGAGAGUAUCCACCCCUGACACUAUUAAUGAUACUUUCCUAUGCUUGUAAACAGGAGCCUAGCAUAACUAUCUCCUGAGAGCUUCAUCCAGCAGUAGAUGGAAACAAAUACAGAGACCCACAUCCAAACAAUAGGCAGAGCUUGGAAGACAUGUGGAAGAGUGCUGGGAAGGGUUAAGGGGUAGUGAGAGGUCAAGGAUACCACAAGACCACCUACAGAAUCCACUACCCUGGACCCAUGAAGGUCACAGAGAAAAAUUAAGGAAGUAAAAGUCCCAUCUAACUAUGAUAGGAAAGCUGCAACCAUAAAAUCUCAACAAGAUGGCUGCCUUAAAAGGGCCUGAACAGGGGAUGGUGGAAGAACUCGGAGAGAGGGGAUCAGCGGUGGGGGGCAGCAUCUGGGAUGUAAAUGAAAUAAUUAUUUUUUUAAAAAGGGUCCAAACAAUUCCAGCAGUUGACAUGUUACAUAAAUAAGGGAAAUCCCAAUCCCUAGAUGAAGAGCUAUGGACAGUAAACAACUGCUUAGAGUCAAAUUAAAUAACCAAUCUCUUGAUUGGUUAUCCAAUACCAAGUGGUCAGGCUGAGAGACAUACAUGGAGGCAACAUUGAACAGACUCAACAGUUAGUAUAUUUAGGUUUAUUUGUCUAUAUGUGUAUGUAACAACAAUGGUUAAAGAAUAAGAAGCCAUGAAUUUGAGGGAGGGUAGAUGGAAGGAGUAGAUG